GAUGAACGCUGGCUACAGGCUUAACACAUGCAAGUCGAGGGGAAACGACGGGGAAGCUUGCUUCCCCGGGCGUCGACCGGCGCACGGGUGAGUAACGCGUAUCCAACCUGCCUCUGACUGAGGGAUAACCCGUCGAAAGUCGGCCUAAUACCUCAUGGCAUAGUUUGUGGGAAUUAAAGGAAGAUUAAAGAGGGUAGAGGGUAGGGUGGGGGAUGCGUCUGAUUAGCUUGUUGGCGGGGUAACGGCCCACCAAGGCUACGAUCAGUAGGGGUUCUGAGAGGAAGGUCCCCCACAUUGGAACUGAGACACGGUCCAAACUCCUACGGGAGGCAGCAGUCACUAAUAUUCAUCCCUCAACUUUAUCCUCAACCCACCAAGUAUCGUACAUGAGGACGGCCCUAUGGGUUGUAAACUGCUUUUAUGCAAAAAUAAAAUCAUUAACUUAUCCUUCAUUACAUUUCCCCCAUCAAUAACAACCGGCUAAUUCCUUG
rnacentral:rRNA from 1 species